rnacentral:lncRNA from 1 species
AUGAAAGAGCAUUAUAAUCACCUGGCACCCAAGAAAUGGCGUGGGCUUUGCAGACAAAUGACCAGGUGCUCCGUGUUGGCAGAAAACCACAAAGCGGUCAGAAACAGCCUGGCAGACAGGAAAAUACGCAGACUGCUGACAAGUGCUCAUGGGGAAGAAGGCCCUACAAUCCCACCACUAACGAUCUCUCUCCUCAUCAACCUCAGCACCCACUACUAUUGGCUCUCCAUCCUCUUUUUGAAAAUAGUGCUUGUUGACUUUGGAUGCAGACGACACUUUGGGGCUCCUGUAAGUGGUGGUGGCUGCUGUUCUGGGAGAUUUCAUUCCUUUUGCAACAUUCUGAUUUGUUCUUAGUAACAGAAAUAAACAUGCACCUGGGUGAGGCUGAGUUCUUCCCUGUUUUAGAAAGUAUUUCACAGAUGUACCUCUGAGGUUUCCUGCAGGUUUGGGGCAACAGCAGGCUAGAAACUUUAUGUGGCUUAAAAAUCACAGAUUUCAUGUAAGAGAAACUACAGCCAAAUUAUAGAAAAUGGGCACCUAUAUAUAGGUCAAGGAAAGAGAAGGCCCACAGCUUUUGCUAUGCCUGAUCCAGAUUUGAUGUUAGAAAACCUCAGGCAACAAAAGCACAAUUUCCAAUUUUAGAUAAAUAUUGUUACAUUUCUGAUGAAAUGAGUGAAUCUUCCUUAUACUCAAUAUAUUUUAAAGGUCAAAGGGGAAAAAAACCUUAUAGUCUCACCAUUUAAUGGGUUGCAUAUUUCCUUUCAGUUUCUUGAUGUACAUUUUAAGAUGAAUUAAAGUCACUACAGCCUGUCCUGGUCUUGGGUUUCGACCUCACAGUCUCCAUGUCGGCAGCUGUGCAUGAGGAUUUCCUCCAGCUCCACGAGCUGUGUUGCCUUGACACCAGCAAAGGACACACACGGAGCAUGUCUACCACAGCAAACAUUGCUCACCUACAAUGGACAGCAAGGGCUCCGAAGCUUUGCCUCCCUCCGCAACGUGCAGCGGCUGUUGGAGGGGCAGAGGACGCGGCUGCUGUCGCCUGAGCCUCUGAGGCCCGGCUCAGGGAAGCAGACCCGGGGACGGGUGUCAGGAGAAGCCUUCUGGAGCGGUCUGUGGGUCGGGCCGUGGGCUCCUCUUGGGCCAGUCAUCUAAGGCAGAAGAACAGGUCCCGGGCGCCUUUCCCAGCCCCACCUGCCAGGCAGAAGGGUUAGGAUUAACACACUCGGGUGACUUCCCGAUCGAAGCUCAAACAGUGCCUCCCGUGCCCCAGCCUGGCCCUUCCUCCGGACGAGGCAGCACGCGCAGGCUGGGCACUAGCUGCCAGGAGGUGUCGCUUCCUCACACCUCUCGCCUCGCCAAAGCGGAGGCCUUUGGUUUGCUCCUGUGAGCAAUGCUGCCCAGCCUCCGCGGCGAGCCCGGCCCAGCGCUAGUCCGGAUACCCCGGGAGCGUGCGGCAGCGCGGUGCUGCGAGCAGCCCUGGUCCGGCCAGCGCGGGCUCCUCAGCCUGGCGCCCACAGCUGGCGCUGACCGCGCGACUGCGCGCCCUCCAGCCGCUCUGCGGGUCACGUCCUAGUCCGCCUCACCGAGCUCUGGCCCAGACGCCAGGCCGGGCCGCCGGAGGUCGGAGUCCGCCUGUGAGGGCAGCGCGAGGCUCGUCCCGGGCCUGGCCGCGUGGACAGCGCCCGGCCGGGCAGCAGCACCCACUGCGCCGCGGCUCCGGCCCAGAGGCCGCGUGGGGAGACGACGCCCCCUCCGCCCGCGCCCGG